CUUCAUGAACGGAUCUUAAGCUUAGUAGAAGGUUCUAUGUGUGCUCAACUUUAUUGUAAGUAUUUGAUUAUGUUAGUUUUAUAUAUGUUUGAAGUGUUGUAAGUAUGAUUUAGGAUUACUGAAUUUUAGAUUUAUUGCUAUUCAGGUUAUUUUGUGAUUUGUUUUAGUUUUUCUUUUUAGCUAAAGUGAAAACAUUGUCAUUCAAGUGGGUCCUAAAUUAUUAUUUCAUCCAUUAACGGCAAAAGUAGAUCAUUUUCAAAAGAUUAGGCUCAUAUUUGAGAUAAAAACUUAUUAGGGUUACUGAAUUUAAAUUUAUUGCUAUUUAGGUUAUUUUGUGAUUUGUUUUAGUUUUUUUUUUAGCUAAAGUGAAAACAUUGUCAUUCAAGUGGGUCCCAAAUUAUCACUUCAUCCAUUGACGGCAAAAGUAGAUCACUUUCAAAAGAUUGGGCUCAUAUUUGAGAUAAAAACUUUUUAAGGUUACUGAAUUUUAAGUUUAUUGCUAUUUAGGUUAUUUUGUGAUUUAUUUUAGUUUUUCUUUUUAGCUAAAGUGAAAACUAUGUGGGUCCUAAAUUACCACUUCAUCCAUUGACGUUAAAAGUAGAUCACCUUCAAAAAAAUGGGCUCAUAUUUGAGAUAAAAACUUAUUAGGGUCCAUUUAUAUGGGUUGUACAAAGUAAUUUUUAAGUGUAUAUUUGGCACUUUGGCCAAUUAAACCCCCCAUUUGAUAUUGUUUUCUAUUUAUAUUUAAGGGAUUGGAAAGAAUGUUAGGAUUGAAUCAUGACUACCUAGUCUUUAAGACGAACUCAAAAAUCAACUACUGACCUAAGGGCAGCUUGAAUGAUAUUAGUGUACAAAGUUCAGUGACAUAUAUUGACAAAAGAGAUAUGAUCUUUAUGUAAUGAAAAUUUCGUUUGGCAAAGGAUAAAAAUCUGAAAUAGGGGGAAUAAAUAACAGCUAGCAAGUACGUGUGGGCCUUAUAAGCAUACAAACAAACUAGUUGAAGCUGAAGCAAAGCAAACCAACUAUGGCAAAGCCCUCUUUUCCUAUAAAUAGGGAGGAGACGAGGAGAGUAGAGAGUGGGCAUUUUAGGGCAUUUUCUAUUUCUAAUAUCCUAAUUUUCAGAGAGAAACAGAAGAAAGAAGGAGAUGGAACAGAAAAAAAACUCUAAAAUGACCCCUCAAGACAUAUGGAGCUCCCUUGCUAUAGUCCAAAUGUCCAAUUUUACUUCUCCUGAGAUAUUCUUUUCCAUUCUGAUAAAGUAAAAAAUGAAAGAACACUAUCUGGAUGAUCUUGAAGAUUUCUCUGUCGUCUACAUCUCUUCCCACAGGUGGGUUAAGAAGGAUCAAGAAAAGAAGAUAGCAAUUCAUUUGGUCUACAUGCCAGAUCAUGAACCAUAUCAGCACGCAACACUGUUGUUUAAUAAUUGUAUCCAGUUUAGUUUUUUUCUUGUGUUGAAGAAGACAUUCCAAUCAAUUGUUUGGAGGUUGUAACUCAUAAAUUCUGCCUUAGAUUAGGACUUCUAUAAUUUUCAGAAAUUUUAUUUAUGUAUUUUUAUGUUUUAUGUUUCAUUGUCAUGUGUUGUACAUUUUGUGAUAGGAGAUACUUCCUCUAUCCCGAAUUGAUAAUUUAGAAAAUUAGAUUUUUCUUAA